CGUGUUCACUGUGUAUGUCUUG
rnacentral:miRNA from 1 species